UCUAAUGUGGCAGACUAGUGCAAUGGUCUUAAACUCCAAAUAUAAAGAUUACCCUUUCUUUAGAA
rnacentral:tRNA from 1 species